GACGAACGCUGGCGGCGUGCUUAACACAUGCAAGUCGAACGGAAAGGCCCUGCUUUUGUGGGGUGCUCGAGUGGCGAACGGGUGAGUAACACGUGAGUAACCUGCCCUUGACUUUGGGAUAACUUCAGGAAACUGGGGCUAAUACCGGAUAGGAGCUCCUGCUGCAUGGUGGGGGUUGGAAAGUUUCGGCGGUUGGGGAUGGACUCGCGGCUUAUCAGCUUGUUGGUGGGGUAGUGGCUUACCAAGGCUUUGACGGGUAGCCGGCCUGAGAGGGUGACCGGCCACAUUGGGACUGGGGUAAGGCCCAGACUCCUACGGGAGGCAAGAGUGGGGAAUAUUGCACAAUGGGGGGAAGGCUGAUGCAACAAAGCCGCGUGCGGGGUGACGGGCUUCGGGUUGUAAACCACUUUCGCCUGUGACGAAGCGUGAGUGACGGUAAUGGGUAAAGAAGCACCGGCUAACUACGUG
rnacentral:rRNA from 1 species